rnacentral:siRNA from 1 species
AGCUUUGAUUGUGUGCUACUA